GAGUAAUGUAUGGGGAUCUGCCUGAUGGCGGGGGAUAACUACUGGAAACGGUAGCUAAUACCGCAUAAUGUCUUCGGACCAAAGCGGGGGACCUCCGGGCCUCGCGCCAUCAGAUGAACCCAUAUGGGAUUAGCUAGUAGGUGAGGUAACGGCUUACCUAGGCGACGAUCCCUAGCUGGUCUGAGAGGAUGAUCAGCCACACUGGGACUGAGACACGGCCCAGACUCCUACGGGAGGCAGCAGUGGGGAAUAUUGCACAAUGGGCGCAAGCCUGAUGCAGCCAUGCCGCGUGUAUGAAGAAGGCCUUCGGGUUGUAAAGUACUUUCAGUCGGGAGGAAGGUGGUAAGGUUAAUAACCUUA
rnacentral:rRNA from 1 species